GAUGAACGCUAGCGGCAGGCCUAACACAUGCAAGUCGAGGGGCAUCAUGGCGUAGCAAUACGCUGAUGGCGACCGGCGCACGGGUGCGUAACGCGUAUGGAACCUACCCACCGCAGGGGGAUAACCCGCCGAAAGGCGGACUAAUACCCCAUGGUUCCCCGACCCUGCCUGGGGUUGGGGGUAAAGCCUACGGGCGGCGGUGGAUGGCCCUGCGUGCCAUUAGCUGGCUGGUGGGGUAACGGCCCACCAGGGCGACGAUGGCUAGGGGGUCUGAGAGGACGAUCCCCCACACUGGUACUGAGACACGGACCAGACUCCUACGGGAGGCAGCAGUGAGGAAUAUUGGUCAAUGGGCGGAAGCCUGAACCAGCCAUGCCGCGUGCAGGAUGACGGCCCUACGGGUUGUAAACUUCUUUUCCAGGAGAAUAAAAUGCCAUACGUGUAUGGUACUGAAGGUAUCCUGGGAAUAAGCAUCGGCUAACUCCGUGCCAGCAGCCGCGGUAAAACGUAG
rnacentral:rRNA from 1 species